ACAGAUUAUUGUCACCUCCAAGUGUGCUUGGCAUCCACUAAGUAAUGGAAGAUAUCUUUACAUUUCUUUUUAGGUUUCAAAUUUAAACAGUAUUAUCGUUUAGGCUUUUUCAUGCUGGUCCUGGCUUACUAACUCUUCUUGCCGAAGCUAACUAUGAAUUACUGAAUGGUAGUUCACCCGAUAUAACAUGGCUUUUGUGUGUAAAAAGCUUGGAGAGAGAAGCAAGUUCAACCAAACCUCAACUUUGAUCAAAUCUUGGUUGAGUAUGGUUGUCAGGCAGAUUAUAAUUUCCACGACAAAUCCAAGUUGGCGUGGGAAAGCCGGCUAUCUUGUGUUUCUGUGUCGGAACUGUUUCAUGGGAUAGUUUAAUAGGUUAACCAGAUGCAGCUGCAGCCAAUAUUCUUCAUGUAGUGCGUGCUGGCGCUAAAAAAGGAACAUUGGGAUCGUUUGUAGCAACCUGGACUGAUUUAGUGGCCUCAGGAUCGUUACAUUUUGCUUGGCCAUUAGGAUGGAUUUUACAGGCUUGUUUGGCUUGGAAUCAUUCCAUUCACUGGUUAAAAUAUCUGAUGAUAUUCUCCACUUCAAGAAUCAUACAUUCAAUUGAUUAAAUUCCAGGACUACAUUCAAAAUUCGUUUGCCGAACUUUCUUCACUGUGGGUUUUGAAUGAAUACCAUCGCUUGACAGACGUUUUUCAAUCGAGAUAGGGCGAUUAGAAACUUGGCUUUUUCGUCACGCGCGUGUGGAACUUUGAUCUCCCAAUGUAUUAGAUUCUGCAUCCGGCCUUCUUUACCCCCAAAGGAAGGAUCUUUUCACUACCGCUUGCUUUUAGAUCCCGACAGUUGAUGAAGAUAACCUUAAUAUGGAAUGCGUUGUGCGAACUAUUUGCCAUAAAAAAAUUGACAAACUGCUAACUGAAGAAACCGUUGUAAUAUUGCUCUUCAAGCCCUUCUCUCUACCAAUUUCCUUCUCCUGGCUUGUCGGUAAGAAAUUUGUGCUAAUUUUAUUAUGACA